CUCUGAUAUCGAUAGAAUCCUAAAACCUUCAAUUAUAUUUUCCGAUAAAUCAAUCUUCCUGUCCAAUUUGAUCAAAACAACAAAAAUUAUACUCGAAACAGAAAAAUAUUUGACAAACUGAACACUAUCAUUAUUAAACUCUUGCCAAACCUAAAUAGAAAUCUCAUUCCUAACGCACCCAAAAUUGAUUUACCAUACAUGCAUGCAUAAAAUUGCAUAUAAGUUGUCGAAAUUAUUCACAACUAUUAAAAGAAUACUUCAAUUAACAAUGAAGAAAGGAAAAUCUGGUACAAAUGUAUGAAAUUAGGGUGCAAAUGUAGGAAAAAACUGGUACAAAUAUAGGAAAAAUUUGGUGCAAAAUUUGAGAGCGCCAGAUGCUAGAAUACUUCAAUUAACAAAGCAUCUAAAAUUAAAAAUCCAUAGUUUUCUUUUUUCAUGGCAAUCCAUAUGAAAAAAUGAUAUUAAGCGAAAUUGCUUAUGAUUUUUUUUGUAUCAAUAUAUUCUUAUAAGAAUCUGCUAGACUUUGUAUGAAUUAGUUGGAUUUUAUUUCAUAGGAAAUGUGAGACUUUAGAAAGGAAAGAAGCUAGUGUAAUUCAAAUGUAAAUUUCAGACAUCCAAGUAUCUGAAAAUUCAAAUGCAACCAACGUUUUGUAUGCUAGUGAGAUUUCCAAAAUCUGCAAGAUUUGUUCUUAUUAGAAUCCCUAAUUUUGUAUGAAAGAUGCUUAUUUUCCAUAGAUAUGAGAGAUUAAAGAUGUAGGGAAGAAGAAAUAUGGAUGUAUAUCCAUUACCUCUCAAUAUGCAACUUCAUUGCAAAUAUUUUGCCACCCACAGUGCUUCCUUCCUCUUGUAGUCCAAACAAAUUCAAAGACCAAAACGAAAUUUCACAGAUCUGUAUGAGCCGUGCCUUUUCGUUGUUUGGGAAAAUUAUAUUCUUAAAACCCUAAUUUCAAAUCUUAACAUCAAAAUCUCAUUAAGGUAAAAGGAAAUUACUUAAUGAAUCCCAAAUGAGAUUCAUGGAAGAAGAAGGCAAGCAAAAAGAAGAGAGCAUGGAAGGUUGAAGUUUCUUUUUAAUUGAGAAAGGUGGAAGUUUCUGAAAAGACUAGGAAAAAAAAGGAAGUGUAAAAUAAAUUAUCAAUAAAUUACCCGCUAUUAUUUUAAGGUUGCGAAAG
rnacentral:lncRNA from 1 species